GACGAACGCUGGCGGCGUGCUUAACACAUGCAAGUCGAGCGGUAAGGCCCUUUCGGGGGUACGACGAGCGGCGAACGGGUGAGUAACACGUGGGUGACCUGCCCUUACGCUCUGGGAUAAGCCUGGGAAACUAGGGUCUAAUACCGGAUAUGACUCCAUGACGCAUGUUGUGGGGUGGAAAGCCUUGUGCGGCUAGGGAUGGGCCCGCGGCCUAUCAGCUUGUUGGUGGGGUGAUGGCCUACCAAGGCGACGACGGGUAGCCGGCCUGAGAGGGCGACCGGCCACACUGGGACUGAGACACGGCCCAGACUCCUACGGGAGGCAGCAGUGGGGAAUCUUGCGCAAUGGGCGAAAGCCUGACGCAGCGACGCCGCGUGGGGAUGAC
rnacentral:rRNA from 1 species